rnacentral:rRNA from 1 species
UAGCUAGUUGGUGAGGUAACGGCUUACCAAGGCGACGAUCUGUAGCGGGUCUGAGAGGAUGAUCCGCCACACUGGAACUGAGACACGGUCCAGACUCCUACGGGAGGCAGCAGUGGGGAAUUUUGGACAAUGGGGGCAACCCUGAUCCAGCCAUGCCGCGUGAGUGAAGAAGGCCUUCGGGUUGUAAAGCUCUUUCGGCCGGGAAGAAAUCGCAUGGGCCAAUACCCUGUGUGGAUGACGGUACCGGAAUAAGAAGCACCGGCUAACUACGUGCCAGCAGCCGCGGUAAUACGUAGGGUGCGAGCGUUAAUCGGAAUUACUGGGCGUAAAGCGUGCGCAGGCGGUUUUGUAAGACAGGCGUGAAAUCCCCGGGCUCAACCUGGGAACUGCGUUUGUGACUGCAAGGCUAGAGUACGGCAGAGGGGGGUGGAAUUCCACGUGUAGCAGUGAAAUGCGUAGAGAUGUGGAGGAACACCAAUGGCGAAGGCAGCCCCCUGGGUCGAUACUGACGCUCAUGCACGAAAGCGUGGGUAGCAAACAGGAUUAGAUACCCUGGUAGUCCACGCCCUAAACUAUGUCAACUAGGUGUUGGGUGGGUAAAACCAUUUAGUACCGUAGCUAACGCGUGAAGUUGACCGCCUGGGGAGUACGGCCGCAAGGUUAAAACUCAAAGGAAUUGACGGGGACCCGCACAAGCGGUGGAUGAUGUGGAUUAAUUCGAUGCAACGCGAAAAACCUUACCUACCCUUGACAUGCCAGGAACUUGCCAGAGAUGGCUUGGUGCCCGAAAGGGAGCCUGGACACAGGUGCUGCAUGGCUGUCGUCAGCUCGUGUCGUGAGAUGUUGGGUUAAGUCCCGCAACGAGCGCAACCCUUGUCGUUAAUUGCCAUCAUUUAGUUGGGCACUUUAGCGAGACUGCCGGUGACAAACCGGAGGAAGGUGGGGAUGACGUCAAGUCCUCAUGGCCCUUAUGGGUAGGGCUUCACACGUCAUACAAUGGUCGGUACAAAGGGUCGCCAAGCCGCGAGGUGGAGCCAAUCCCAGAAAGCCGAUCGUAGUCCGGAUUGCAGGCUGCAACUCGCCUGCAUGAAGUCGGAAUCGCUAGUAAUCGUGGAUCAGCAUGUCACGGUGAAUACGUUCCCGGGUCUUGUACACACCGCCCGUCACACCAUGGGAGCGGGUUCCGCCAGAAGUAGGUAGCCUAACCGCAAGGAGGGCGCUUACCACGGCGGGGUUCGUGACUGGGGUGAAGUCGGAACAAGGUAGCCGUAGGGGAACCUGCGGCUG